rnacentral:rRNA from 1 species
AGGACGAACGCUGGCGGCGUGCUUAACACAUGCAAGUCGAGCGGAAAGGCCCUUCGGGGUACUCGAGCGGCGAACGGGUGAGUAACACGUGAGCAACCUGCCCUUAGCUCCGGGAUAGCUCCGGGAAACCGGAAUUAAAUACCGGAUACGACCACGGCCGACAUCUGCUGUGGUGGAAAGGAUUCCGGCUAAGGAUGGGCUCGCGGCCUAUCAGCUAGUUGGUGGGGUAAUGGCCCACCAAGGCGACGACGGGUA